GCCGGAGAGUUCGGACCGGACGGCUGAAGCUCGGUUGGGACGUCUGGUGGAGCGGAAUAGCUCUCUGUCUCAGCAAUCUAGGAGAAGCUCUGAUAUUUUUGAGGUUGCUGACGGGUUAACUGUUGUUGGGUGCCUUAGGCGUUGAUGCUGUAGACGGAAGUCAUCUGCUGUAGAAGUCCGGAUGGAAACUUUCUGUUGGAAAAAUUCGACUGGAGUCUGAUUGCUA
rnacentral:lncRNA from 1 species